AACGCACAUUGCACCCGCCAGUACUCUGGCGGGUAUGCCUGUUCGAGCGUCAUCUCAAACCUCAGGCGACAGCCUGCUGUUGGGGCGUCCCGGCUUGCGGGAGCCCCGAAUCGUAGUGGCGGAGCCGUCGCGGACUCUGAGCGUAGUACUGACGUCGCCCACGAGUCCAGGCGGUGCCUGCCGUAAAACCCAGCCUUACGGCUUUCAAGGUUUGACCUCGGAUCAGGUAGGGAUACCCGCUGAACUUAA
rnacentral:misc_RNA from 1 species